GGGUUGUGAGGUUAAGCGACUAAGCGUACACGGUGGAUGCCCUGGCAGUCAGAGGCGAUGAAGGACGUGCUAAUCUGCGAUAAGCGUCGGUAAGGUGAUAUGAACCGUUAUAACCGGCGAUUUCCGAAUGGGGAAACCCAGUGUGAUUCGUCACACUAUCAUUAACUGAAUCCAUAGGUUAAUGAGGCGAACCGGGGGAACUGAAACAUCUAAGUACCCCGAGGAAAAGAAAUCAACCGAGAUUCCCCCAGUAGCGGCGAGCGAACGGGGAGGAGCCCAGAGCCUGAAUCAGUGUGUGUGUUAGUGGAAGCGUCUGGAAAGGCGCGCGAUACAGGGUGACAGCCCCGUACACAAAAAUGCACAUAUUGUGAGCUCGAUGAGUAGGGCGGGACACGUGGUAUCCUGUCUGAAUAUGGGGGGACCAUCCUCCAAGGCUAAAUACUCCUGACUGACCGAUAGUGAACCAGUACCGUGAGGGAAAGGCGAAAAGAACCCCGGCGAGGGGAGUGAAAAAGAACCUGAAACCGUGUACGUACAAGCAGUGGGAGCACGCUUAGGCGUGUGACUGCGUACCUUUUGUAUAAUGGGUCAGCGACUUAUAUUCUGUAGCAAGGUUAACCGAAUAGGGGAGCCGAAGGGAAACCGAGUCUUAACUGGGCGUUAAGUUGCAGGGUAUAGACCCGAAACCCGGUGAUCUAGCCAUGGGCAGGUUGAAGGUUGGGUAACACUAACUGGAGGACCGAACCGACUAAUGUUGAAAAAUUAGCGGAUGACUUGUGGCUGGGGGUGAAAGGCCAAUCAAACCGGGAGAUAGCUGGUUCUCCCCGAAAGCUAUUUAGGUAGCGCCUCGUGAAUUCAUCUCCGGGGGUAGAGCACUGUUUCGGCAAGGGGGUCAUCCCGACUUACCAACCCGAUGCAAACUGCGAAUACCGGAGAAUGUUAUCACGGGAGACACACGGCGGGUGCUAACGUCCGUCGUGAAGAGGGAAACAACCCAGACCGCCAGCUAAGGUCCCAAAGUCAUGGUUAAGUGGGAAACGAUGUGGGAAGGCCCAGACAGCCAGGAUGUUGGCUUAGAAGCAGCCAUCAUUUAAAGAAAGCGUAAUAGCUCACUGGUCGAGUCGGCCUGCGCGGAAGAUGUAACGGGGCUAAACCAUGCACCGAAGCUGCGGCAGCGACGCUUAUGCGUUGUUGGGUAGGGGAGCGUUCUGUAAGCCUGUGAAGGUGUACUGUGAGGUAUGCUGGAGGUAUCAGAAGUGCGAAUGCUGACAUAAGUAACGAUAAAGCGGGUGAAAAGCCCGCUCGCCGGAAGACCAAGGGUUCCUGUCCAACGUUAAUCGGGGCAGGGUGAGUCGACCCCUAAGGCGAGGCCGAAAGGCGUAGUCGAUGGGAAACAGGUUAAUAUUCCUGUACUUGGUGUUACUGCGAAGGGGGGACGGAGAAGGCUAUGUUGGCCGGGCGACGGUUGUCCCGGUUUAAGCGUGUAGGCUGGUUUUCCAGGCAAAUCCGGAAAAUCAAGGCUGAGGCGUGAUGACGAGGCACUACGGUGCUGAAGCAACAAAUGCCCUGCUUCCAGGAAAAGCCUCUAAGCAUCAGGUAACAUCAAAUCGUACCCCAAACCGACACAGGUGGUCAGGUAGAGAAUACCAAGGCGCUUGAGAGAACUCGGGUGAAGGAACUAGGCAAAAUGGUGCCGUAACUUCGGGAGAAGGCACGCUGAUAUGUAGGUGAAGCGACUUGCUCGUGGAGCUGAAAUCAGUCGAAGAUACCAGCUGGCUGCAACUGUUUAUUAAAAACACAGCACUGUGCAAACACGAAAGUGGACGUAUACGGUGUGACGCCUGCCCGGUGCCGGAAGGUUAAUUGAUGGGGUCAGCGCAAGCGAAGCUCUUGAUCGAAGCCCCGGUAAACGGCGGCCGUAACUAUAACGGUCCUAAGGUAGCGAAAUUCCUUGUCGGGUAAGUUCCGACCUGCACGAAUGGCGUAAUGAUGGCCAGGCUGUCUCCACCCGAGACUCAGUGAAAUUGAACUCGCUGUGAAGAUGCAGUGUACCCGCGGCAAGACGGAAAGACCCCGUGAACCUUUACUAUAGCUUGACACUGAACAUUGAGCCUUGAUGUGUAGGAUAGGUGGGAGGCUUUGAAGUGUGGACGCCAGUCUGCAUGGAGCCGACCUUGAAAUACCACCCUUUAAUGUUUGAUGUUCUAACGUGGACCCGUAAUCCGGGUUGCGGACAGUGUCUGGUGGGUAGUUUGACUGGGGCGGUCUCCUCCUAAAGAGUAACGGAGGAGCACGAAGGUUGGCUAAUCCUGGUCGGACAUCAGGAGGUUAGUGCAAUGGCAUAAGCCAGCUUGACUGCGAGCGUGACGGCGCGAGCAGGUGCGAAAGCAGGUCAUAGUGAUCCGGUGGUUCUGAAUGGAAGGGCCAUCGCUCAACGGAUAAAAGGUACUCCGGGGAUAACAGGCUGAUACCGCCCAAGAGUUCAUAUCGACGGCGGUGUUUGGCACCUCGAUGUCGGCUCAUCACAUCCUGGGGCUGAAGUAGGUCCCAAGGGUAUGGCUGUUCGCCAUUUAAAGUGGUACGCGAGCUGGGUUUAGAACGUCGUGAGACAGUUCGGUCCCUAUCUGCCGUGGGCGCUGGAGAACUGAGGGGGGCUGCUCCUAGUACGAGAGGACCGGAGUGGACGCAUCACUGGUGUUCGGGUUGUCAUGCCAAUGGCACUGCCCGGUAGCUAAAUGCGGAAGAGAUAAGUGCUGAAAGCAUCUAAGCACGAAACUUGCCCCGAGAUGAGUUCUCCCUGACUCCUUGAGAGUCCUGAAGGAACGUUGAAGACGACGACGUUGAUAGGCCGGGUGUGUAAGCGCAGCGAUGCGUUGAGCUAACCGGUACUAAUGAACCGUGAGGCUUAACCUUACAACGCCGAAG
rnacentral:rRNA from 1 species